rnacentral:rRNA from 1 species
UACGGAAGGCAGCAGUGGGGAAUAUUGCACAAUGGGCGCAAGCCUGAUGCAGCCAUGCCGCGUGUAUGAAAAAGGCCUUCGGGUUGUAAAGUACUUUCAGUCGUGAGGAAGGUGUUAAGGUUAAUAACCUUAGCAAUUGACGUUAGCGACAGAAGAAGCACCGGCUAACUCCGUGCCAGCAGCCGCGGUAAUACGGAGGGUGCGAGCGUUAAUCGGAAUUACUGGGCGUAAAGGGCACGCAGGCGGUUAAUUAAGUUGGAUGUGAAAUCCCCGGGCUUAACCUGGGAAUGGCAUUCAAGACUGGUUAGCUAGAGUCUUGUAGAGGGGGGUGGAAUUCCAUGUGUAGCGGUGAAAUGCGUAGAGAUGUGGAGGAAUACCGGUGGCGAAGGCGGCCCCUGGACAAAGACUGACGCUCAUGUGCGAAAGCGUGGGGAGCAAACAGGGAUUAGAUACC